UCAGACGAUGCGUCAUGCAUAUCAAUAAGCGGAGGAAAAGAAACUAACAAGGAUUCCCCUAGUAACGGCGAGUGAAGCGGGAAGAGCUCAAAUUUGAAAUCUUAAAGGGUUUCCCUUUACGAAUUGUAGUUUAAAGAAGUGUUUUCUGUUGAGGUUUUGGUAAAAGUUCUUUGGAAUAGGACAUCAUAGAGGGUGAGAAUCCCGUAUUUGACCUUUACUUUCAACUUUGUGAUACACUUUCAAAGAGUCGGAUUGUUUGGGAAUGCAGUCCAAAAUGGGUGGUAAAUUUCAUCUAAAGCUAAAUAUUGGCGAGAGACCGAUAGCGAACAAGUACCGUGAGGGAAAGAUGAAAAGAACUUUGAAAAGAGAGUUAAACAGUACGUGAAAUUGUCAAAAGGGAAGCGUUUGACACCAGUGUUGUUUUUCUGAAAAUCAAUUAAAGAACUGUUUAUGCUAAGCUGUUUAGACUUUAUCAGCUAUCUGUUUAGUUUUGAGCUUUUCUUUAAUGCACUUUUCAGUUAACAAGUCAACAUCAAUUUCUUUUGCUGUAAAAAAGCUUGAGGAAGGUGGCUUGAGAUUCGUCUUAAGUGUUUAUAGCCUCUUGCCUAUGCAGUCGGAGAGAUUGAGGUCUGCAGCGUAGAUCCUUCGGGGCUAAAUGCAUUUGUGCUAAGUUAUAGCAUUUUAUAGACAACUUGUUGACUAUGAUUCGUCUUGUAGCUUACUCGCUUAUGUUAUUUUACCUACGCUUAGGAUGUUGAAUCUGUGCGAGACUAC
rnacentral:rRNA from 1 species